UCCCUGGAGGACUAGUGGUUAGGCCACAUGCUCUCUCACCGCUGCAGCCCGGGUUCGAUUCCCAGCCAGGGAA